rnacentral:lncRNA from 1 species
GGAAAGUGCUCAGAACCCAGUUAAGCAUGGGCCACGGCUUGGGGGCUGCUCUGCUCUCUAUGGAGGUUAUAUACUCAUGUAUCUCUUGCUUUCGAGAUAAUUGCUACAGCUGCAUUGUGACUCGAAUUUGGAACCUACCUCAGGGCAUCUUAAAGAAAAGCUCUUCACCAGGGAGAAGAGAGAGAAGUAAGAUUAAACUCCAGGGGUGCGAGCUGCCGUCGAC